GCUGAUGGUGGUAGACUUCCAAGGGAAAGGUCACGUCGACAGGGAGGAAAUCUUACAAUUUACAACUUACAGAAAGAAGAUCAUGGUCAUUAUGAAUGCGUCUUAGAGAAUGAUAUUGCCACUUUGGUCACUAGCACCAUGAUUCUGAUUGAAAGUUGGGUGAUAUCUCAAGGUUACAACUGCUCUUAUGUUGAAGGAAAAUGAUUAUUCAUGUGGGUAGCACUAGUUGUUCUGGGUGAAUCGUAAGUUGCCUGCUGAGUAAAGAAUGCUUGUUUUUAAGAAGUUUGGUGCAUGAUCUCAAAGAAAAUAUUCAACUUAUAAUUCAACUCCAGCAAAAGCAACAGUCCAGCAUAAAAGCAAAUACACACACUCGGUUUGUGUCUUUGAUUUAAUAAAGAUUGUUCUUUGUUUUUA